CUGGCCUCAAAUCAGGUAGGGCUACCCGCUGAACUUAAGCAUAUCAAUAAGCGGAGGAAAAGAAACUAACUAGGAUUCCCUUAGUAACGGCGAGUGAACCGGGAUGAGCUCAAAUUUGAAAUCUGGCGUCUUUCAGGCGUCCGAGUUGUAAUCUAUAGAGGCGUUUUCCGCGCCGGACCGCGUCCAAGUCUCUUGGAAUAGAGUAUCAAAGAGGGUGACAAUCCCGUACUUGACGCGACAACCGGUGCUCUGUGAUACGUUCUCAAUGAGUCGAGUUGUUUGGGAAUGCAGCUCUAAAUGGGUGGUAAAUUCCAUCUAAGGCUAAAUAUUGGCGAGAGACCGAUAGCGAACAAGUACCGUGAGGGAAAGAUGAAAAGCACUUUGGAAAGAGAGUUAAACAGCACGUGAAAUUGUUAAAAGGGAAACGAUUGAAGUCAGUCGUGUGGGAAGUAUUCAGCCGUCUCUGGCGGUGUAUUUGCUUCUCACGGGUCAACAUCAGUUUGAUCCGGUAGAAAAAGGCGGGAAGAAGGUGGCACCCUCGGGUGUGUUAUAGCUUCCUGUCAUAUGUGCCGGACCAGACUGAGGAACGCAGCUUGCAGCAAUGCCGGGGUUCGCCCACGUACAAGCUUAGGAUGUUGACAUAAUGGCUUUAAACGACCCGUCUUGAAACACGGACCAAGGAGUCUAACAUAUCUGCGAGUGUUUGGGUGUCAAACCCAAGCGCGAAAUGAAAGUGAACGUAGGAGGGAUGCGCAAGCAGCACCUUCGACCGAUCCGGAAGUAUUCUGAUGGAUUUGAGUAAGAGCAUAUAUGCUGGGACCCGAAAGAUGGUGAACUAUGCCUGAAUAGGGCGAAGCCAGGGGAAACUCUGGUGGAGGCUCGUAGCGAUUCUGACGUGCAAAUCGAUCGUCAAAUUUGGGUAUAGGGGCGAAAGACUAAUCGAACCAUCUAGUAGCUGGUUCCUGCC
rnacentral:rRNA from 1 species